UUGAGAUUCCAGGUACCAGGAUGAUCUUCAGAUGACUCGUAACCUCGAGCUAGUCGUAGCAAUACAAACAAGCAUGGUAUAGGCAAAAUUAACAUCACACCAAACAUAAGAAUGAACUGUGUAAUAAUAUUAUACGCUGCGUAAUUAGAUCGUAGGAACAAGAAUCAUUAAUUUUGGAGUUAUAGAUUUUAAGUUAUGAAUUUUCAAAAAGUUCUAUGUGCUAGGUACAAGAUUAGUUAGGAGAUUAAAAUUAAUAUGGUUUUCAUGUCAAAACAGAGACACAAAAUGUUAAACAAUAAUUUUACAAAAUUAUAGGAACUGGAAUGGAUCAAUUUGGACUUAAUAUGAAUUUUCUAUAAAUUAUACAAGUUUCUAGCAUUUAUUUUCUCAUUAAAAAUCAUUUUCUAAAUUAAUUCCUCCUAUUUUUCUGAGUUCUGGGCUGCGCACACAAUAACAGAGAACCUGGGGUCUAACUCAUAAAAUUUCUUAAGACUCAUUUUUCCCCGCACUGGACGUCGGGUUGAUUUUGAAGAACCCCGAGGGCUCUUAUGCAAAUGUGCUCGCGAAGGGGUAUGGACAGACGCUGGCUGUUGGAUCGGAGUUCUACGGUCGCGAUUAGAUCCUCCAUUACAGCGAAGCGGUAUGCUAUGCCGGCCUUACGAUCUGCGAUCAACGGACCGCGUUCAACAUAACCGAGAUCAACGCGCCACCCUCAGAUCACGGAUCUACGGUCCAGAUUUUAAAUACCCGAGAUCUACUCCUAUCCGUACAUCGUCCGAUCUACGGUCCGGAUUCAACCUUGAACCAAUAUGGGCUGAUCUAAUCGCAGACAUCCAUCGCGGAUCCAACGGCUGGCACGCCAUCUUCCACCUCCAGCCCACAAGAUGGCAGCGCCGGCCUUUCCCCGCGGUAGCCCUUUGCCGGAGUGAAGGCGCUCGUCGCCCAGGUGCACGGACACACGAAUCUACGGCAGUUAUGCGAUGAGCGGAUGAAGGCGAACUCCAUGGGAAGGUCUUACCGGGAUUUCGGACAGAGCAGGGGCCAGCGUUGAAGAAGUGCAGCACGACGAUGAUUUCCCACGACGGUGAGAAAUCGAAGGGCACCCACUGAUCUUCACAGAGCACCGGGGCCACGAGAGAAUUCCUGGGGAUACGAAGAAGCGCCCGGAAUGGUCACCGAUGACCCGACAACGCCGGUGGAGGAUUUCCUCGAUCUCUCGUUGCUCUCUCAGGUGGCGCCAAAAUCUCUGUUUCUGGCAGCCGAGAUGAUGAGAGGAUGAGGCGGCCAAGGGAUUUUAUACUAGAGCAAGGUCCGAUUUCUGGGCGAUUUUGGCGGGAUGCCGGCGGCCCAUGCGCUCGGUUUGUUACGCGGAGAAGCUCCCAACAGGAAGAUGCAACUGCCAUGGCGGUUAGUUGUGGUUCGUAUUCUGUAGACCGGUAUAUACGACUGGCGCUACGGUACGAAGCCCAGGGACCCGGCUGUCAGUGAACGUGGGGUGUUUAUGGAUGAAGUCAUCCCUGACCUCAUGGUGACGUUAGCCUCGCUGAAAUGAAUAAACAAAGUGAAAGGUUGUGCGGUUCGCUGCUGACAUGUGGAGAAGGAGCUGGUUGACAUGCACAUGCGGGGGGGUGCCCAUGCGCAGUGAAGUCGGUACCUGAGUGCAUCCAUCUACGAACGAAUCCCAUAUACCCAGUGGUCAUGCAUGCGAGGCAUGGGAGAAGAACGGGCG
rnacentral:lncRNA from 1 species